rnacentral:rRNA from 1 species
GUAGGAUGCGAGCGUUGUCCGGAUUUAUUGGGCGUAAAGAGUUCGUAGGCUGUUUGCUAAGUCUGAUGUUAAAGAUCGGGGCUCAACCCCGGGACUGCAUUGGAUACUGGCAGACUGGAGUGCGGUAGAGGCUAGUGGAAUUCCCAGUGUAGCGGUGAAAUGCGUAGAUAUUGGGAAGAACACCGGUGGCGUAGGCGACUAGCUGGGCCGUAACUGACGCUGAGGAACGAAAGCCAGGGGAGCGAAUGGGAUUAGAUACCCCAGUAGUCCUGGCCGUAAACGAUGGAUACUAGGCGUAGCGGGUAUCGACCCCUGCUGUGCCGCAGCUAACGCGAUAAGUAUCCCGCCUGAGUAGUACGGCCGCAAGGUUGAA